CAUCUAUCCUAUAAAUUUACUAACAAUUUUCUUUGUAAUUAAUGAGAGACUCAUCAGCGGUGGAGCCAACAUUGUCACUGCAAGUUCGGAGAACACAGUAGCUUUGGUUCAAUCUCUAUAUUUAUCUUGAAAAAUUCAUUAAUUAGUUAGAAAUCAGCAACUUAAAAACACUUAGAAUACUGAAUAGCCUAUGCUUGAAAUUCUAGCUCCGUCUCUAAACUUAAUUGACUCAUCGCCCCAAUAUGAAGAUCGAGGACUUUGUUGAUCAUGAUAGGCGCCAGGCCUGAACCCCUCUGGCCAAGUUGGUCAGGGGUGGUAUAAUUUUUUUUUUUUGGCCCAAUAAUUGGUCAUGACUCUCACCUCUCCUAGUCCAAGCCACACCCCUGGCAUGCCGUCCCAAUUGGUCAUGGCUGGCAUCCUUUACGAGUCCAGACCACCAUUCUGAGCACUCUACCAGAGUAGUCGUUGGAGUUGUUUCCUUAAGCAUUGAUCAACUUGCUCUGAUAUCAAUUAUUAUACACUGAACCAGAAAAUCUAACCAAAAGAGUGGCUUAUUAUGUGGGAGAGCCCACUCAACCUAUAAACUCAUUACCAAUUCGUUUGGCAACAAUAACAUACUUAUUUGGUUCACAACAUAUCAUGCAUAAUUAUGACUAAAAAAUCUCAAUUAUAAAAUGAAAGUCUUUCUUGCAUUAACGGUAAAAUAAUUAACGUGUAUUUUCUUCUAUUACUCGACCAGGUUUAAUCCUGAGAAUUUAGGGGUGUUCAUCGGACGGAUUCGGCGGCUUUUUAAUCUUAACGGUUAUCGGCUUUUAAAUGUAUUCAUCCGUUAGCCACCCGAUAAGAUAUCGGGUGGAUUGGUAUCGGGUUAGUUCUUAUCGGGCGGUUACCGGACGGUUUAUCGGUUUAAUACCUAUGUGGGUUAUCGAAAAGCGUAUACCGAAUUACAAUACUUAGUAAGCAGAAGACAAUUGCAAAUUGUACACAUUUUAUGGGACUUACUUUUUUAAAAUUUGAAACUAAGACACAAAUUCAUUUAAAAGAGAAACAUUUUCCGAAGUAGAGAACUAAAAUCUACUUGGUUAGCAUUUGAGACAUAUCAUCAAACACUUACUCCCGUGGUCUAGUUAAACUUGAAUUUAGUAUUCACAAUUAAGCAAGAUAGCUUGUUAGAUACUUCAGACAAAUUAGUUUACGAAACUUUUGAUUGAAAUUACUUCCUCUGUCUUAUUUUGUUUUAUGUAAAUCUUUACACUACUCAAAGUUGCAUCGCCUUUAUAGUAUGUGAAGCAGAACAGCUAUAUUCUGUUCACAUACUUCAUAAUUUUAUCAUUCAAGGGCACACAACUUUUGAAAAUGAUUUUGAAUCCAUAUAUUUUAUCAACAACACUUAUAGUUUCUCUAGCUGAAAAAGAUUUUGAAUCCAUAUAUUUUAUCUACAACACUUAUAUUAUAACAAAUAUAGUAAACAAUAAUAAGUUGAGAUAUUAUCAGGUGAAAAAAUUAUUUCCAGAGAGUAAAUUACUCCAUUUUAACUAUAACUCUGCAACAUUUUGAUACCUAGUUUACAAGAGCUUUGAGAUUUUAUCAAGAGCUUUGAGAUUUUAUCUCAUUUUUUUGUAUUGUACACACAAGAAGACGACGAGUACCUGGAGAGACGAAAUGGCGAUAGGGUGACCGGCGACUGGUGGAAGUAGACGAACACGAGCGAGUGGACGCGGAAACUGGAGAGGAUUGGUGGCUGGUGGCUGCUGCUUUAACAGUGUUAGGGUUUCUCAGUUUCUCUAGACUAGAAUGAGGAAUUAGAUAUUUAGAUUUAGGAAAUAGAAAUUAUAAAAUUAGGGGUAAUGGGUAUAGAGACAAAAGUCACUACUCACUGUCUCACUCAGUCAGACUCAGAACAAACGGUGGGGGUGGUUGUUUUUGUAAUUUAUUUUUGUUAUACACUUAUACUUAUUCAUUUUAAGGUUUUUAGUUUUUAUAUUUAAUAUAUAUAAUUAUGAAAGUAAAAAUAAAUUAUAUAUAUAUAUAUAUAUAUAUAUUUAUAUUUAACGGGUUAACGGAUUAUCCGUUAAGAAAAUUGAAUAAUCCGCCCCCAAAUCCCCCCCAAACCGAUAAGCCUUUAAUAAAAAAAAAUUCAAUCCAUUCUCCGUCCGUUAAGCCGUUACCAUUAAGCCAUUAGAGAUGUGUUCUUAUUUUCACCGUCUUAAUACAUAGUCAAUUAUUUACAAAAAAGUAAGUUUGUGGAGAAUAAUUUUCUAUAUACAACUUAACGACUUUAUUAAAAUAAUCCUUUUCAAGAAAUAAGCAAGACUAUUGGGACUUUAAUCAAUGAGAAAUAAAAAGGUUUAGCUUGGCAACAACAUAGAAACAAGCAUAGCUACAUGGGUUCAAAAUUUAAACAUACUUCAUGCAAGCAACUGAGAACCAAACGGAAUUAUAUCCAACAUUCAGGAUGAAGUAAAAAUAAAUUACAAUAGACCAAUGAAGCUACUAAAUUUCCCGAUGUUUUCAUUCGAACUUAAUUUUAGGAGUUUACAUGGAUCAAAAGUUACUUGGACAACAGAAAACACAGCAAGUUCAGCUCUUUUCAAAAUGAAGAAACAGACAAUAAAAUAGUUAAGCGGGCAACAGCACAGCAAAAGUAGCAACAACCAGUAGAUUUCAUAUUUUAAACCCAAGAAUAUGAACCAAAAACACCCAGCAAAGAAGUUGCAACCAACAACUAUGUAACUCCAGAAGAAGCUUUCAAGACCCCUCUAUUUUUCUUAAAAGUUUUGCACUUAAGAUUCAACUCACAAAAGCUAACAAAUUUCAGCUUCAUAAAGUAUUCAGCUGCUGAUUUUUGUUCAAAGAUAUGUGCGUUCAAGCAACUCUAAGGAAGUUAUCUUAGUGUAUCCUUAAAAUAUGAAAGGAGCAACCCUUAAGUAAGCAAAGAAAGUCACUUUUGGAGAGCUUUUGGUUCUGCUCAAGGGACUCACUUUUGUGUGCUAAAAGUCUGAUAAAAAAGGAAAAAGGCAGUCUUUCAACAGCGGCAGCAGAAGCAUGGGAUAAAAGGAAGUAUUUCAGCUACUCUAGCACAAAAAGUAAGUUACUAAUGUACCCUUAAUACAUGAUUAUUCAUCUACUCUUACCAACCAUGUGAUUCAAACCAAACUAAGAUAGAAAGAACGCAUAACUAAACUCAACGACUAACUAAUACUCAACUAAGAGAAAUUCAUAACCUAGUGACCAAAAUUAUCAAAAUAUGCAUUGAUCAGUGAAGACAUUAAUGAAACUCACGACCUUAAACAAAACAAAAACCAGAAACACAUCACAUAAAAUCGAGACUGAAACGACUAAUGCAAAGCAAAAACAUAUCAACAGUGAGGUAAACUAGAAUAAUCAAUUAAGUUAAAACAAAAAACGAAAAUCAGAAACUAGAUUGAGAGCUAAUCAAAACGAUCGCUAGAACCAUUUACACUACAAAGACAUUACGAUAAAAUGCUAAAGAAAUAUAAAAUUAAAAACAUGGAGGAAGCAUUAUGGUUUGAGUUUUACCGAAUUUGAGUGUUUGAACAAUGGUGGCCUAGCGACGAUUAGGCAGCGAGACAAUAGCGGGAUAGUGGUGCGGCUCGAGCAAGCUUUUAUUGUUGAUUUUCAUCGAAACCAUGACCCCGGAGAAUUGGAGGCUAGUUUCGAUAAAAAGCGACAACAAAACCUCGCUUUAGACCAGUGUGAAUAGAAAAAUUGGAGGUUGCGGAGUGAUAGUGAGGCGACGGGUUGGCGGAGAGGCGGCAGCGGAGGUGGCUUUCAGGAGUGGUGAGGUUUUUUUGGGGUGAGAUUAUAGGGGAAGUGUAGAUCUCUUUGAUAUGUACAAGUUUAUGUAGGUUUUAGGGGGGUAAACCAUUGAAACUUCAACUAAAUUUCAAAGAAAAAGAGGCUAGGGUUUCGGAUUAUAGGGUUUCGGAUUUUAUGAGGAUUUGCUGGGAUUUGGUUCAUGGAUUUGAAAAGAUGGGAGUGAGAGGGAGAUCUAGUGAGAUUUUAGGGUGGAUUGGAGUACGCUCGUCCGGCGGUGACGAUUUUCGAUCAGCGGAGAUGGGUGGUGGCGCAGAGAAACGAGAGGGAGUGAAGAGAGAGGAAAAAGAAAAGAAUAAUGGGAAAAAAU
rnacentral:lncRNA from 1 species